rnacentral:rRNA from 1 species
CACGGUAAGGAUUGACGGACUGAAGGCUCUUUCUCGAUUCCGUGGAAAGUGGUGCAUGGCCGUUUUUGGUUGGUGGAUCGAUCCGUCUGGUUAAUUCCGUUAACGAACGAGACCUCGGCACUCCGAAUAGCGCGGCGGACGUCGCGGCCUCCGGGCCGUCUUCCGCACGAGCUUCUUAGAGGGACCGUCCCCCGCCGGGGAAGGAGGUGCGAGGCAACGACAGGUCUGUGAUGCCCUUAGAUGUUCUGGGCCGCACGCGCAUUACACUGACGCGUCCAACGGGUGACUCCCGACCCGAAGGGGCCGGGGAAUCCGCAAGGCGCGUCGUGAUGGGGAUUGAACGUUGCAAUUGUUGUUCACGAACGAGGAAUUCCUAGUAGGCGCGGGUCAUCAACCCGCGCCGAUUACGUCCCUG